rnacentral:snRNA from 1 species
AUACUUAUCUGCCAGAGGAGAUCCGAUGAUCAAGGAGAGGGUUCACCCAGGGUGAGGCUCAGCUGUUGUGUCGGCCCCUACCAAUUCCCCAAGUGUGGGAAUUUCAACAGCAUCAUUUUUGCUAAAUCUGGAG